CGGGGGACAUUCAGGUGCAAUAUUAUAUUUAGGGACUGCCACGACGCCAAUCUCAUCCAAUGUUUUCCGGGUACUUCCGAGGGCUUCCGGCAAUUUCCGAAUUAAUCCGUUAACUUCCGAUCUUAAAAAUUAGAUGUAACAUUUUGCCAUUUUUGUGAACUUUUGACGCAAAAUUUCAUCUGGCAACACUGUUUGUCGGUUUAAUUUAAAAUGAUCUAGUCCAAAAAUGAUUGUCGUGGAGCAAUAGCAUUUUUUUUUUCUGUCUCCUAAGAAAAAUGCUGUAUUGUAUUCGACAUUCGCCCGCAGCAAAUCGGAGAAUUGAUUUGGAGUUGAGAAGUGUUCUUGCAUUUUCGUUGUCGAAUCGAAAAACCAAAAGAAAAGGAUAACAACAACCAUAUAGUUAAAAACAGAGCAAGCUACACUGCAUCUACGCAUCCUGAUGCGACGUAACUUGGCUUUGGUGAAACUAUUGAUGGGUGAAACUUAAGAUUUGAAAGUUGUGGGCAAUGGUGUCUUGGUUAGUUGCACAAAUGUUAAAAUACCGUGCUAUCUUUUUGUCUACAUUUUUGUAUGAAUAUAGAUUUAAAAUAUAGAUGAUAACUUUGGUUGAACACGCAAAAAGUACAGGUAGACGAAAUUAAUGUUCUUGUAAUCUUGUUAGUUUAUCCUUCAAUUAUCUUUGUUAAACUUUUUUGUGAUUACGUUCUUCAAGUCCUGGCUAAACACGCAUGAAGGACUGACAGUAGUAAAGAAUAUCUUUAUUAUGUCUUUAUUCGUACUUUGUUUUUCUUUGUUUUAAAAAUGAUGUGAUUACAUUGAACUCUCCAAAAUAGGAAGGUUUCAUAAAGUUUGGAUAAAACACACAUGAA